rnacentral:rRNA from 1 species
GAUGAACGCUAGCGGCAGGCUUAAUACAUGCAAGUCGUGGGGCAGCAGGUUUGUAGCAAUACAGAUGCUGGCGACCGGCAAACGGGUGCGGAACACGUACAGAACCUUCCUUUGAGCGGGGAAUAGCCCAGAGAAAUUUGGAUUAAUACCCCCAUAGUAUAAUGAAGUGGCAUCACUUUAUUAUUAAAGAUUAUCACUCGAAGAUGGCUGUGCGGCUGAUUAGGUAGUUGGCGGGGUAAAGGCCCACCAAGCCUGCGAUCAGUAACUGGUGUGAGAGCACGACCAGUCACACGGGCACUGAGACACGGGCCCGACUCCUACGGGAGGCAGCAGUAAGGAAUAUUGGUCAAUGGAGGCAACUCUGAACCAGCCAUGCCGCGUGGAGGAUGAAGGUCCUCUGGAUUGUAAACUUCUUUUAUAUGGGACGAAAAAAGGGACUUUUCUUAAGUACGUCUGACGGUACCGACUAUGAAUAAGACACCGGCGUAACUACCGU